UACGUAGGGUGCGAGCGUUGUCCGGAAUUACUGGGCGUAAAGAGCUCGUAGGUGGUUUGUCGCGUUGUUCGUGAAAUCUCACGGCUUAACUGUGAGCGUGCGGGCGAUACGGGCAGACUUGAGUACUGCAGGGGAGACUGGAAUUCCUGGUGUAGCGGUGGAAUGCGCAGAUAUCAGGAGGAACACCGGUGGCGAAGGCGGGUCUCUGGGCAGUAACUGACGCUGAGGAGCGAAAGCGUGGGAGCGAACAGG
rnacentral:rRNA from 1 species